UACGUAGGGGGCCAGCGUUGUUCGGAAUUACUGGGUGUAAAGGGUUCGUAGGCGGUGUGGCAAGUCGGGAGUGAAAUUUCUGGGCUCAACUCAGAGACUGCUUCCGAAACUGCUGUGCUGGAGUGUGGGAGAGGCGCGUGGAAUUGCAGGUGUAGCGGUGAAAUGCGUAGAUAUCUGCAGGAACACCCGUGGCGAAAGCGGCGCGCUGGACCACUACUGACGCUGAGGAACGAAAGCUAGGGGAGCAAACAGG
rnacentral:rRNA from 1 species